rnacentral:tRNA from 1 species
GAUCUUGUAGUGAAAUUCACAAUGAGUUGCAAACUCAUUAAUGUGCAUUGAAUAUGUGCCAAGGUCU